AUGGAUCUUCAGGGCAGGGUGAAAUUCCUGACCGGCGGUAUGGGCGUAGCUGCCCGAGCCCGCGACUCGCUGUUCGCUUAUUUGGUUGUUUGUAACGGUUAAGCGGAGAACGGAAGAACAGCGACUGACUUGGUGAGAAGCCAAGGCCGACGGUAUAGUCCGGAUGGAAGAAGAUCUCG
rnacentral:ncRNA from 2 species